rnacentral:rRNA from 1 species
AUGGCAAAACUGAUAAAAUCUGAGCAAUGCAUUGGUCACAAGAUCAAGAUCAUCACGGAUAUGACUCCAGGGAAAAAGAUUACGGCCAAGUUGGAUCACCGAGGAGAAAAUGCACAGCAACCAACAAAUCAAAACAAUCAGGCGGACAUUUACGACGGGAGGACAGGAUUAGAAGAAAUGAGCGAAAGCUUGAAGAUCGAUCGGACCAUUUCCGCAAGACGCGGAAAGCAAAGCCCGUACAAAGGGCAAACUCACACGGACGCCGGUGCGGCCGCGGGCAUGCCAGCUGCCCGUGGCCAGCUUGCUUCCACCAUGGCAGCUUCCAGGGCAGACGAGCGACGACAUGACGCUUGA